rnacentral:rRNA from 1 species
UACGUAGGGCGCAAGCGUUGUCCGGAAUUAUUGGGCGUAAAGAGCUCGUAGGCGGCCUGUCACGUCGGAUGUGAAAGCCCGGGGCUUAACCCCGGGUCUGCAUUCGAUACGGGCAGGCUGGAGUUCGGUAGGGGAGAUCGGAAUUCCUGGUGUAGCGGUGAAAUGCGCAGAUAUCAGGAGGAACACCGGUGGCGAAGGCGGAUCUCUGGGCCGAUACUGACGCUGAGGAGCGAAAGCGUGGGGAGCGAACAGG